UCAAUGCCUACCUCACCUUUCUUGUGAGGAAAUAUAAUAAAAUAAGUCCAGAAAAGGCUGGUGUCAUCGACAGUUUUUGCAUGACGGCAAUUUGGCAAGGGAAACAACAAAGACUCCGAAAACUCGAUCCAAUGGCAUUCUCCAUCCUUUUGGGAAUAAUUAAUGAAUAAAACCACUGGAUGUUGACGGUCAUCUACCCACACGAGAAGAGAUGCUUUUUUUGGAUCCAUUGGGGGAAUCACAAAGGAACAUCAAGAGAUGCCUGGG